rnacentral:tRNA from 1 species
GCCUGGCUGGCUCAGUUGGCAGAGCACGUGACUCUUGAUCUCAGGGUUGUGAGUUCGAGUCCCAUGUUAGGUG